rnacentral:misc_RNA from 1 species
UUAAUUUAUUAAGAUUUACUCAGACUCCACGUUGAGCGGGUUUAAUGGUUCUCUGGCGGGUACGCUCCAGCUAAAGCCGGAGGGUAAGGGUACGCAGUACGGGUACACGACCCGCCAAAGCAACGGUUAAAUAGUUAACAAAGGGUGGGAGUAGGCACCAAGAGGCACCGAUACUCGUUAAUGAUCCUUCCGCAGGUUCACCUACGGAAA